rnacentral:rRNA from 1 species
AUUGAACGCUGGCGGCAGGCUUAACACAUGCAAGUCGAGCGAGCGGCGGACGGGUGAGUCAUGUUUGGGAACCUGCCUGAUGGAGGGGGAUACCUACUGGAAACGGUAGCUAAUACCGCAUACCAUCAGAUGUGCCCAGUUGGGAUUAGCUAGUAGGUGGGGUAAUGGCUCACCUAGGCGACGAUCCCUAGCUGGUCUGAGAGGAUGACCAGCCACACUGGAACUGAGACACGGUCCAGACUCCUACGGGAGGCAGCAGUGGGGAAUAUUGCACAAUGGGCGCAAGCCUGAUGCAGCCAUGCCGCGUGUGUGAAGAAGGCCUUCGGGUUGUAAAGCACUUUCAGCGAGGAGGCGUUACUCACAGAAGAAGCACCGGCUAACUCCGUGCCAGCAGCCGCGGUAAUUC